GUCAAACCCUUGUCCUUUAGUUACCAGCCGUGGUUAAGCCGGGAACUCUAAGGUAUACUGUGCCCAGUGACAAACUGGUACGUGAAAUGUCGGGUGACUUGACCGUCAAGUCAUCAUGGCCCUUACGACCAGGGCUACACACGUGCUACAAUGGUAGGUUACCAGAGGGCCAGCUACACAGCGAUGUGAUGCGAAUCUCAAAAAGCCUAUCGUAGUCCAGAUUGGAGUCUGCAAUGGACUCCCUGAAGCUAGGAAUCGCUAGUAAUCGCGGAUCAGAAUGCCCGGUGAAUACGUUCCCGGGCCUUGUACACACCGCCCGUCACACCAUGGGAGUUGAUUGCACCAGAAGUGGAUAGCCUAACCUUUUAGGAAGGCGUUCACCACGUGUGGCUCCUCCAUGGGGCCAAGUCGUAACAAGGUAGCCGUAGGGGAACCUGCGGCUGGAUA
rnacentral:rRNA from 1 species